rnacentral:rRNA from 1 species
CACGUAGGGCGCAAGCGUUGUCCGGAAUUAUUGGGCGUAAAGAGCUCGUAGGCGGUCUGUUGCGUCCGCUGUGAAAUCUCGGGGCUUAACCCCGAGCCUGCAGUGGAUACGGGCAGACUAGAGGUAGGUAGGGGAGAAUGGAAUUCCCGGUGUAGCGGUGAAAUGCGCAGAUAUCGGGAGGAACACCGGUGGCGAAGGCGGUUCUCUGGGACGGUACUGACGCUGAGACGCGAAAGCGUGGGGAGCGAACAGG